AACGAACGCUGGCGGCAGGCUUAACACAUGCAAGUCGAACGGUUGCAGCAAUGCAGCAGUGGCAGACGGGUGAGUAACACGUGGGAACCUUCCUAGGGGUACGGAACAACUCAGGGAAACUUGAGCUAAUACCGUAUACGUCCGUGAGGAGAAAGAUUUAUCGCCCUUAGACGGGCCCGCGUCGGAUUAGCUAGUUGGUGGGGUAACGGCCUACCAAGGCGACGAUCCGUAGCUGAUCUUAGAGGAUGAUCAGCCACACUGGGACUGAGACACGGCCCAGACUCCUACGGGAGGCAGCAGUGGGGAAUCUUGGACAAUGGGCGCAAGCCUGAUCCAGCCAUGCCGCGUGAGUGAAGAAGGCCUUCGGGUUGUAAAGCUCUUUCAGUGGGGAAGAUAAUGACGGUACCCACAGAAGAAGGACCGGCUAACUUCGUGCCAGCAGCCGCAGUAA
rnacentral:rRNA from 1 species